rnacentral:lncRNA from 1 species
AUUGGCUUCUCUAGGCUCCUUCUGGGACUAGCACUAGAAACUGCUCAAUGCUGUAAUUCAGUAGGACACAAUUGGAGAAAUUGGUUAUUUUACCAAGAAUUUGACUGGAAUGGCAUGCUUCCUUUAAAGAAUCAAAGUUGACUUAUAGAGACAAUAAAACCCCUUGGGGAAUCUGGCUUCAUACCUUGUCUACACAGAGUCCUUGUACAAGUUUCUUGAUCUCUGCCGGCUGUGAGUCAAUUACUGUUUCCUGAUUGCAAUUCCCCUACCCUGAUAAAUCAGCUCUGUCUAAGCAGUGGACAAGGUGAACCCAUUGGAUGGCAACAAAUCCUUAAUAGCAAACCAGAAGCUGAAAGAAAGGAACUAACUUCUUUCUGGGUCGAAGACAUCUGGAAAACAUAGGAUCUCCUUCAGUGUCUUUAGCACCAGAUCCUGUGAUUCAAACUACACACAACCAAUAAGAAAAAGAAUUCAACAUGCGUGCUACCGGUUCACCUCCUUUCUUGUGUUUAUUACACAUCAAUAAAUCAAGUGUUUACUGAGAUCCUACUCUCAAGUUCCUAGUCAGAAAAGGAAUCACCUGCCGUAGGUAACAGCCUGUGUUCUUUCCUACAGCAUUGAAAAGAGCCUCAGACUAAAAAAUGAAAGGAAAUUGUGUAUUUCUUUAUUGUAAAGGGCAGAAACGUGCAAUUACAGAUUGUGAAACUGCUGC